rnacentral:siRNA from 1 species
CAGGAUGUCCAAGUCUUUCAUGCC